rnacentral:lncRNA from 1 species
AUAUCACUGUCAUCGGUUUGUUUCAAAUUCUGUCAUGUUUCAUCUCCACUGCUCUCAAUCAGAACCACUGCCUUAUUGGACUUCAGCCUUUUGGGAGCCCUGUUUUCACUGCCUUGCCCUUCAUCAGUCUUCAACCUCUUUGUAGGUUUCUUUUCACUGCCUUGCGCUUCAUCAGUCUUCAAUCUCUUAGUAGGUUUCUUUUCACUGCCUUGCCCUUCACCUAACGUACUGUCAUCAGGAGGAACAUUUUCGGGCUGCUCUGUCUCGGUGUACUUCGCAAUCUCUUCAAGAAUCUUACUCCCAUACUUCUCUGUCUUCAGCUUUCC